GACGAACGCUGGCGGCGUGCUUAACACAUGCAAGUCGAACGGAAAGGCCCUGCUUUUGUGGGGUGCUCGAGUGGCGAACGGGUGAGUAACACGUGAGUAACCUGCCCUUGAUUUUGGGAUAACUUCAGGAAACUGGGGCUUAUACCGGAUAGGAGCUCCUGCUGCAUGUUGGGGGUUGGAAAGUUUCGGCGGUUGGGGAUUGGCUCGCUGCGUAUCUGCUUGUUGGUGGGGUAGUGGCUUACCAAGGCUUUGACGGGUAGCCGGCCUGAGAGGGUGGCCGGCCACAUUGGAACGGGGAUACGGCCCAGACUCCUACGGGAGGCAGAAGGGGGGAAUAUUGCACAAUGGGCGGAAGCCUGAUGCAGCAACGCCGCGUGCGGGAUGACGGCCUUCGGGUUGUAAACCGCUUUCGCCUGUGACGAAGCGUGAGUGACGGUAAUGGGUAAAGAAGCACCGGCUAACUACGUG
rnacentral:rRNA from 1 species